rnacentral:rRNA from 1 species
AGAGUUUGAUCAUGGCUCAGAGUGAACGCUGGCGGCGUGCUUAACACAUGCAAGUCGAACGAGAACGGGUUAUAGCUUGCUAUGACUGUCAGCUAAGUGGCGCACGGGUGAGUAAUAUAUAGGUAACAUGCCCCAAAGAAGAGGAUAACGUUUGGAAACGAACGCUAAUACUCUAUAUGCCUUUAAGUCAUAAGACUGCAAGGGAAAUAUUUAUAGCUUUGGGAUUGGCCUGUACAGUAUCAGCUUGUUGGUGAGGUAAUGGCUCACCAAGGCUAUGACGCUUAACUGGUUUGAGAGGAUGAUCAGUCACACUGGAACUGAGACACGGUCCAGACUCCUACGGGAGGCAGCAGUGGGGAAUAUUGCACAAUGGACGAAAGUCUGAUGCAGCAACGCCGCGUGGAGGAUGACACAUUUCGGUGCGUAAACUCCUUUUAUAUAGGAAGAUAAUGACGGUACUAUAUGAAUAAGCACCGGCUAACUCCGUGCCAGCAGCCGCGGUAAUACGGAGGGUGCAAGCGUUACUCGGAAUCACUGGGCGUAAAGAGAAUGUAGGCGGGUUAAUAAGUUGGAAGUGAAAUCCUAUGGCUCAACCAUAGAACUGCUUUCAAAACUGUUGACCUAGAAUAUGGGAGAGGUAGAUGGAAUUUCUGGUGUAGGGGUAAAAUCCGUAGAGAUCAGAAAGAAUACCGAUUGCGAA